rnacentral:rRNA from 1 species
UACGAAGGGGGCUAGCGUUGCUCGGAAUGACUGGGCGUAAAGGGCGCGUAGGCGGUGUGUCGCGUCGGCCGUGAAAACCUGCAGCUUAACUGUGGGCUUGCGGUCGAUACGGGCAUCACUGGAGUUCGGCAGGGGAGACUGGAAUUCCUGGUGUAGCGGUGAAAUGCGCAGAUAUCAGGAAGAACACCAAUGGCGAAAGCAGCUUUCUGGGACGGUACUGACGCUGAGACGCGAAAGCGUGGGGAGCGAACAGG